rnacentral:rRNA from 1 species
UACGUAGGGUGCAAGCGUUAAUCGGAAUUACUGGGCGUAAAGCGUGCGCAGGCGGUUGUGUAAGACAGAUGUGAAAUCCCCGGGCUCAACCUGGGAACUGCAUUUGUGACUGCACGGCUCGAGUGCGGCAGAGGGGGAUGGAAUUCCGCGUGUAGCAGUGAAAUGCGUAGAUAUCAGGAGGAACACCGGUGGUGUAAACGGCUCUCUGGACCGCUACUGACGCUGAGGCACGAAAGCGUGGGGAGCAAACAGG